rnacentral:lncRNA from 1 species
GUCUCUUCUCUUCUUUCUUACAUGGAAGGUGGUUUGGAUCAAAUCUAAAAGGAAUAAGUUUGGAUUUUGAAUUCUAUGAGAUAGAGUUUUAGAAAUCCAAAACUCUUUCAAUUUUGCACCGAAUUUAUCCAAAUUUUUUUUGCAAUUUUCAUGGCCUUUAGGGUUUAUAUUGUGAACCCUUUGCUGGUGAUUCAUGCACGAAAAUAUAGAGGAGAUGCUCAAGAGUUGGGCGUCCCUUAACUUGCCAUGUUUGGAUAAGCCUUGACUAGGUGUUUGACCUAGACAAGGACUCUAUCAUAUCUCUCUAUAUAAGAUGAGUUUCUUCAUGAAAUUGAAGGGAGAGAUAGAGAUAUGAGAGAUCUUUGUGCCAUCCAAAAAUCAAAGAGAAAUACCUUUGGGUCGUGGAGAUAUAAAAGAUGCAAGUUAGGGCGUUUAGAGAGAAAAAUGUGAAGAAGAAGAGGGUCUUCUUCUA